GACGAACGCUGGCGGCGUGCUUAACACAUGCAAGUCGAACGGAAAGGCCCUGCUUGCCGGGUGCUCGAGUGGCGAACGGGUGAGUAACACGUGGGUGAUCUGCCCCUUACUUUGGGAUAAGCCUGGGAAACUGGGUCUAAUACUGGAUAGGACCAUGCUGUAGGUGGUGUGGUGGAAAGAUUAGUUUCGGUAAGGGAUGAGCUCGCGGCCUAUCAGCUUGUUGGUGGGGUAAUGGCCUACCAAGGCGUCGACGGGUAGCCGGCCUGAGAGGGUGGACGGCCACAUUGGGACUGAGAUACGGCCCAGACUCCUACGGGAGGCAGCAGUGGGGAAUAUUGCACAAUGGGCGCAAGCCUGAUGCAGCGACGCCGCGUGGGGGAUGACGGCCUUCGGGUUGUAAACCCCUUUCAGCCAUGACGAAGCCCUUGUGGUGACGGUAGUGGUAGAAGAAGCACCGGCUAACUACGUG
rnacentral:rRNA from 1 species